rnacentral:lncRNA from 1 species
AGGACCACGGAGAGGCCUGCGGGCCAGGCUGGGCUCCAGGGCUACUCUGUGUGUGUGUUAGGGUGGGGGACGGAGGGCGAUGAGGGGGUGUCCCAGAGACCAGGGAGAACUGGCUGUGGGGAAGGGGGGUAUGUAAGCACAGACUCAGGGUUCUGAGUUGACUGUCCUUGUGUUUCACACCAGCAUUCUCUGGUUCUCUGGGCCCCAGCCUCCUUCUCUGAGAAUCAGGAAAGAAGGAUGGAGUGAAAGGCAUGGAGAUAGAGACUGACACUGGACGGCAGCCAGGCAGGGGUCGCGGGCCCCGAGGCGUGGGUCUGGGCUGCGGGGGGCGGACCGCAGGAGCCGCAGGAGCCGCAGGAGCCGCAGGAGCCGCAGGAGCCGCAGGAGCCGCAGGAGCCGCAGGAGCCGCAGGAGCCGCAGGAGCCGCAGGAGCCGCAGGAGCCGCAGGAGCCGCAGGAGCCGCAGGAGCCGCAGGAGCCGCAGGAGCCGCAGGAGCCGCAGGAGCCGCAGGAGCCGCAGGAGCCGCAGGAGCCGCAGGAGCCGCAGGAGCCGCAGGAGCCGCAGGAGCCGCGCGGGCCGCAGCAGUUGGCUGCUGGAAGCGUUUCCCGGUGCGGCUGCGCGCCCAGGGUCUUCCGUAUGUCCCUGCGCAUGUGUUUAGCAACCUGCCUGAGCCGGGGAGCUGCAUUUACACCCGGGCGGGGGACAGCCCAUCCUCCGGAAAGGGAGCUGGCAGUGUUUUGCACUUCAAGGUGGUGUUGCCGUCUUGCCAGGUUGGGAUUCCCAGGCAACCUGGAGAAAUAAGCGCUACUGUUUUGCCGCCAAAAGAUGAAUUUCUCCCAGAGGAGGGUGCCAGGAAAGAGAUUUUUCUCUUUCAAAAGACUCGAUACCCUCCCGCGACGAGACAAAUGAGAGCUAUAGAACCCAGGAUCUCCUUUUUGCUUUGGCUGCUGGGAAGCUCAGAUCUGAAUUGCUGUGAUUAAUGCGUUUAUAAAUAUAAAUAAUAUAAAUAUAAAUAUAAAUAGCUUCUAAUCCAGGGAUUCUUAACUCCAAGUGACUGGAUGCUAAACCCUUAAAACAUCUGAACUCAUAUGUAAAAGUAUUGUCUGAGAAUGCUCAGGCUGCUAUAGCAAAAUGCCAUCGACUGGGUGCCUUAAACAAUACACAUCUAUUUUUCACAGUCCUGGAAGGUGGGAAGUCCAAGGUCAUGGUCUCUGUGGAUUUAGCUUCUGGUGAGGGCCCUCCCCCUGCUUUGCAAAUGACUGCUUUUUCGCUGUAUCCUCACAGGGUGGACAGAGGAAGCUCUGGUGUCUCUUUCCCUCCUUGUAAGACUAACCCCAUCACAGGGGUCCAACCCUCAAGACCUCACCUUCAUAUCAUCUCCCAAAGGCCCCACGUCCAAAUACCAGAACGUUGGAGGUUAAGGGCUUCAACAUAGGUAUUUGGGGGGAAGGGGUCACAAUUAUGUAUACUCAUAUUUUUCUGGGGAGGGGGGUCCUCAGAUUUCUCACAGUCCUCAAAGAUGCUCAUUACCUUGAGAAAGGUUAAGAAAAGGGGACAGUCUGGAUUAGGCUUAUAGUCCCCUGUCUGUUGGGUCAAGCCCCAUCGAGCAACCCCUUGUUAUAGAGGCUGCCGGUGGUGCCCCAAAUCCCUGUUCUUUUCCUUUAUAGUAAUGCAACUCUUGAUGGCUACCGAGGUAGCCGAAUUUCCCAUCCUUCUCUGCAUCUGGACGUGGCAGAACAAGUUCUGACUAAAAAGCCUGUGAGUGGAAGUCAUGAUGGUACUCCCAGGUCACACUUUGAGGCCUCCGGUGGAAAAGUCCUCAUUCUCUUGCCCCUCCCCACUGGCAGCUCAGGGAUUCCUUUUCAAACUACUGUGACUUUGGUGGAAAAGCUUUAUAAGAAGCUAAUCUUGGAGCUAUUAUACCAGGGAGAAAUGCAUCCCUGUAGGAUUCCACUGUAGUUUGGGGUCAGCUGAGUUUACCCCAGCAAAUGUGCCAUCCAUGAGUUCCUGCAGCAGAGGCACACAUAUCAAACCCAAGCCACCUACUUCCCAGGGUAUCCAGAAUGGUGUGAAGAUGCCCCUGUCCCCGUCGUGACCAGCCACGUGGCCUUUGCCCGUGGCUGGAUUUGCAAGCCUGCCAGCCCUCCAGUCCUCCCAGCUUGUCCUUUCCCAGCAAUAGAGUGCCACCAGCCCACUGGGCCCUCACUUACGUUCCCCAUCCUGAAGUCCCUCGGAGUACCAGGCUUCCCUAUCAAAGGUCAGUGUAAUGGUUGAAGGUACAAACUUCGGGCUCGGUCUGGCCAAGUCCUGACUGCUCUGAGUGGACUUUGUGACCUCAGGGAGCUCAUUGGACCCCUCUGAGCCUCUGUUUCUCAUCUUUAAGUAGAAGGUGAUAAAGAGGGACGCCUGGGUGGCUCAGUGGUUGAGCAUCUGCCUUUGGCUCAGGUCAUGAUCCUGGGGUCCUGGAAUCGAGUCCAACAUCGGGCUCCCCACAGGGAGCCUGCUUCUCCCUCUGCCUGUGUCUCUGCCUCUCUCUGUGUCUCUCACGAAUAAGUAAAUAAAAUCUCAAAAAAAAAAAAAAGAUGUCUUUAU